GGUGAUUCGUGUGUUUGGUGAUUCAUUGAUAGUGUGUCAGUGAGAUUAUCAUUCGUAUUUUGUUUGUAUGGCCAAUCCAAUUACUAUGCAAGAUCUUGAAGGUCUACUAGAUCGGCUUAUUACAGUUGCCACUCGAUCAGGGAGUUUGUCAAGAGAUAGUGGAUCACUGAAUGCUCUUCAAGUGGCUGUAAAACUUGAUGGCCCAACGACAUAUUUACAAUG
rnacentral:lncRNA from 1 species